UACGGAGGGUGCGAGCGUUGUCCGGAAUCAUUGGGCGUAAAGGGCGCGUAGGUGGCGGGACAAGCGUGCGGUGAAAGCUCGGGGCUCAACCCCGCGUCGGCCGUGCGAACUGUUUUGCUUGAGCACUGUAGAGGCAGGCGGAAUUCCGGGUGUAGCGGUGGAAUGCGUAGAGAUCCGGAAGAACGCCGGUGGCGAAGGCGGCCUGCUGGGCAGUAGCUGACACUGAGGCGCGACAGCGUGGGGAGCAAACAGG
rnacentral:rRNA from 1 species